rnacentral:lncRNA from 7 species
AGCAUUGAGAACUCCCUCUGGUUGGAUUCCCAAACUGCUCUGCAGGUUGCUGGCUACAGCAGACUACCAAAACAAAUCUCUUACCAUGAUCAAGGUCAGAGCCAGUGGUCAUAAAAGGUACCAGAUUGAAAGCCCUGAAGGAAGGAAAUUGCUUUUUAUGCACAGCACAAGUAGCAAUACCACAGAAUUUCUCGGGCUGGGCUCCAUCUUCCAAGUGCUGUGAUGUUGCUAGCCUAAUAGUUUGCUGAGGUGCAUCUACCAGCUCUCUGAAGUUAGUGGGAAAACAAGGGUAGUUGAGCAGACCGGUGUUCUGGUAGGCUGUGCUGCUCCUGUGCCCCAUGAUCUAUGCCUGCCUUCUGCUGGGAGCUGUCCUGGCAAGCACAGCUUUGGCAGCAGCUUGCUGCCCAGGGGACUUGGCUGAGCACCCAAUGCUGCUCUCAUCCCAAAUGGAUUAGAUGCUCUCAGGAAAGAAACUUCUGCUUACAAAUCAUUCCUCUACCUGGGUUGAGGACAAACAACUUUUGAAGGAGAAAGAGUAAUUCAUACUCCAGAAAACAAAACCCAGGAUUGUCUUGAUAUCUCUGGAAGAGCUCUUCUGUCAAGGGUAUUGGCUCUGCUUCUGU